rnacentral:lncRNA from 1 species
GUAGAAUUUCUGCUCUGGGUGUGCUACAUUUUCCUACAGCUGCCAGACCGAAAGGGCUGCCUUGUUUGCAAAGAGGCAGAGAGGCCCCAAAGCAUCUUGCUUAGAGCUCUUUGGGAAGCUAAGAAACAACCGGCUCUGGCCAGUGCUCGUACAGCCUAUGUGGAACAUCUGUUACCAAGGCCUGUGAAACGCAGUUUGUUGGCAGGCCUGAUCUGGCUGAAGUAGAACUUCUGCUCUGGGUGUGCUACAUUGGCCUAGAGCUGCCAGGCACAAAGGGCUGCAUUGUUUCCAAAGGGUGAGAGAGGCCCCAAACCAUCUUGCUUCCAGCUUUUUUUGGAGCUAAGAAACAACUGGCUCUGCCCAGUGUUCUUACAGCCUACCGGCAACAUCUCUUACAGAAGCCAGUGAAACGCAGUUUCUAGGCAGGCCUGAUCUGGCUGAAGAAAAACUUCUGCUCUGUGUGUGCUACAUUGGCAUAGAGAUGCCAGGCCCAAAGGGCUGCCUUGUUUGCAAAGGGGCAGAGAAGCCCUAAUGCAUCUUGCUUCCAGCUCUUUGGGAAGCUAAGAAACAACUGGCUCUGCCUAGUGCUCUGACAACCUCCCUGGAACAUCUGCUACCAAGGCCUGUGAAACGCAAUUUCUUGGAAGGCCUGUUCUGGCUGAAGCAGAACUUCUGCUCUGGGUGUGCUACAUUGGCAUACAGCUGCCAUGCCUAAAGUGCUGGCUUCUUUGCAAAGGCGUAGAGAGGCCACAAAGCAUCUUGCUUCCAGCUCUUUGGGAAGAUAAGAAACAAGUGGCUCUGCCCAGGGCUCUUACAACCUACCUGGAACAUCUGUUACCAAGGCCUUUGAAAUGCAGUUUCUUGGCAGGCCUGAUCUGGCUAAAGCAGACCUUCUGCUCUCGGUGUGCUACAUUGGCAUAGAGCUGCAAGGCACAAAGUCCUGCCUUUUGUCCUCAAGUGCAGACUGGCCCCACAGCGAAGGCCUUCCAGCUUGUUGGGCAGCUAAGAAACAACUUGCUCCGGACUGGUGUUUUACAGCCUAAAGGGAACGAGUCUUACAAAGGCCUGUGAAACGCAGUUUCAUCCCAGAACUUAUCUCACUGAAGUAGAACUUCUGCUCUGCCAUGUCCUACAUGGGCCUAGAGCUGCAAGGCACAAAGUCCUGCCUUGUUUCCACAAGGAGAGACAAGUCCCUCAGCGUCCAGCUUCCAGCUCUUUCGGCAGCUAAGAAAUAACUCGCUGUGCAUAGGGCUCUUACAGCCUACCCGGAACAUGUCUUACAAAGGCCUGUGAAAGGCAGUUUCUUCCCAGCCCUGAUCUGGCUGAAGUAGAACUUCUGCUCUGCCGGGUCCUACAUGGGCCUAGAGCUGCAUGGCACAGUGUCCUGCCUUGUUUCCACAAGGGGAGACUAGUCCCUCAGCGUCCAGCUUCCAGCUCUUUGGGCAGCUAAGAAACAACUCGCUCUUCAUUGGUGUUUUACAGCCUACAGGGAACAUGUCUUACAAAGGCCUGUGAAACACAGUUUCUUCUCAGGCCUGAUCUCGCUGAAGUAGAACUUCUGCUAUGCCGUGUCCUUCAUCGGCCUAGAGCUGCCAGGCACAAAGUCCGGCCUUGUGUCCUCAAGGGCAGACAGGCCCCACAGCGUGGGGCUUCCAGCUUUUGGGCAGCUAAGAAACAACUUGCUCAGCACUGGUGUUUUACAGCCUACCGGGAACAUGUCUUACAAAGGCCUCUGAAACGCUGAUUAUUCCCAGCACUGAUCUGCCUGAGGCAGAACUUCUGCUGUGCCGUGUCCUACAUGGCCCUAGAGCUGCAGGACACAAAGUCCUGCCUUGUUUCCACAAGGGGAGACAAGUCCCUCAGCGUCCAGCUUCCAGCUCUUUCGGCAGCUAAGAAACAACUCGCUCUGCAUAGGGCUCUUACAGCCUACCGGGAACAUGUCUUACAAAGACCUGUGAAAGGCAGUUUCUUCCCAGGGCUGAUCUCGCUGAAGUAGAACUUCUGCUCUGCCGUGUCCUACAUGGGCCCGGAUAUUCAAGGCACAAAGACCUGCCUUGUGUCCACAAGGGGAGUCUAGACCCUCAGCGUCCAGCUUCCAGCUCUUUGAUCAGCUAAGAAGCAACUUGCUCUGCACAGGGCUCUUACAGCCUACCAGGAACAUGUCUUACAAAGGCCUGUGAAACGCAGUUUCUUCUCAGGCCUGAUGUCGCUGAAGUAGAACUUCUGCUCUGCAGUGUCCUACAUGGGCCGAGAGCUGCCAGGCACAAAGUCCUGCCUUGUUUUCACAAGGGGAGACUAGUCCCUCACCGUCCAGCUUCCAGCUCUUUGGGCAGCUAAGUAACAACUCGCUCUGCAUUGGUGUUUUACAGCCUACUGGGAACAUGUCUUACAAAGGCCUGUGAAACGCAGUUACUUCUCAGGCCUGAUCUCGCUGACGUAGAACUUCUGCUCUGCCAUGUCCUACAUGGCCCUAGAGCUGCAAGGCACAAAGUCCUGCCUUGUUUCCCCAAGGGGAGACUAGUCACUCAGCAUCCAGCUUCCAGCUCUUUGGGCAGCUAAGAAACAACUUGCUCUGGACAGGGCUCUUCCAGCCUCCCUGGAACAUGUCUUACAAAGGCCUGUGAAACGCAGUUUCUUCCCAGGCCUGAUCUCGCUGCAGUAGAACUUCUGCUCUGCCGUGUCCUAAAUAGGCCUAGAGCUGCAAGGCACAAAGUCCUGCCUUGUUUCCACAAGGGGUGACAAGUCCCUUAGCGUCCAGCUUCCAGCUCCUUGGACAGCUAAGAAACAACUCACUUUGCAUAGGGCUCUUACAGCCUACCGGGAACAUGUCUUACAAAGGCCUGUGAAAUGCAGUUCCUUCUUAGGCCUGAUCUCGCUGAAGUAGAACUUCUGCUCUGCCGUGUCCUACAUGGGCUUAGAGCUGCAAGGCACAAAGUGCGGCCUUGUGUCCUCAAGGGCAGACAGGCCCCACAGCGUGGGGCUUGCAGCUCUUUGUGCUGCUAAGUAACAACUCGCUCUGCAUAGGGCUCUUACAGGGUACCGGGAACAUUUCUUACAAUGGCCUGUGAAACGCAGUUUCUUCCCAUGCCUUGUCUCGCUGAAGUAGAACUUCUGCUAUGCCAUGUCCUACAUCGGCCUAGAGCUGCAAGGCACAAAGUCCUGCCUUGUGUCCUCAAGGGCAGACAUGCCCCACAGCUUGGGACUUCCAGCUCUUUGGGCAGCUAAGAAACAACUUGCUCUGCACUGGAGGUUUGCAGCCUACUGGGAUCGAGUCUUACAAAGGCUUGUGAAGCGCAGUUUCUUCCCAGGGCUGAUCUCGCUGACGUAGAACUUCUGCUCUGCUGUGUCCGACAUGGCCCUAGACCUUCAAGGCACAAAGUCCUGCCUUGUUUCCACAAGGGGAGACUAGUCCGUCAGUGUCCAGCUUCCAGCUCUUUGGGCAGCUAAGAAACAACUUGCUCUGCACGGGGCUCUUUCAUUCUACCUGGAACAUGUCUUACAAAGGCCUGUGAAACGCAGUUUCUUCUCAGGCCUGAUCUCUCUGAAGUAGAACUUCUGCUAUGCCGUGUCCUUCAUCGGCCUAGAGCUGCAAGGCACAAAGUCCUGCCUUGUGUCCUCAAGGGCAGUUAGGCCCCACAGCGUGGGGCUUCCAGCACUUUGGGCAGCUAAGAAACAACUUCCUCUGCACUAGUGUUUUACAGCCUACAGGGAACGAGUGUUACAAAGGCCUGUGAAACGCAGUUUCUUCCCAGGCCUGAUCUCGCUGAAGUAGAACUUCUGCUCUGCCGUGUCCUACAUGUCCCUAGAGCUGCAAGGGACAAAGUCCUGCCUUGUUUCCACAAGGGGAGACUAGUCGCUCAGCGUCCAGCUUCCAGCUCUUUCGGCAGCUAAGAAACAACUUGCUCUGCACAGGGCUCUUCCAUCCUCCCUGGAACAUGUCUUACAAAGGCCUGUGAAAGGCAGUUUCUUCCCAGGCCUGAUCCUGCUGAAGUAGAACUUCUGCUCUGCCGUGUCCUACAUGGGCCUAGAGCUGCAAGGCACAAAAUCCUGCCUUGUUUCCAAAAGGGGAGACAAGUCCCUCAUCGUCCAGCUUGCAGCUCUUUGUGCAGCUAGGAAACAACUCGCUCUGCAUUGGUGUUUUACAGCCCACCGGGAACAUGUCUUACAAAGGCCUGUGAAACGCAGUUUCUUCCCAGGCCUGAUCCCGCUGAAGUGGAACUUCUGCUAUGCUGUGUCCUGCAUCGGCCUAGAGAUGCAAGGCACAAAGUCCUGCCUUGUGUCCUCAAGGGCAGACAGGCCCCACAGCGUGGGGCUUCCAGCUUUUUGGGCAGCUAAGAAACAACUUGCUCCGCACUGGUCUUUUACAGCCUACAGGGAACGUGUCUUACAAAGGCCUGUGAAACGCAGUUUCUUCCCAGGGCUGAUCUCGCUGAAUUAGAACUUCUUCUCUGCCGUGUCCUACAUGGGCCUGGAGCUGCAAGGCACAAAGUCCUGCUUUGUUUCCACUAGGGGAGACAAGUCCCUCAGCGUCCAGCUUCCAGCUCUUUCGGCAGCUAAGAAACAACUCGCUCUGCAUAGGGCUAUACAGCCUACCGGGAACAUGUCUUACAAAGGCCUGUGAAAGGCAGUUUCUUCCCAGCCCUGAUCUACCUGAAGUAGAACUUCUGCUGUGCCGUGUCCUACAGGGCCCUAGAGCUGCAAGGCACAAAGUCCUGCCUUGUUUUCCAAGGGGAGACUAGUCCCUCAGUGUGCAGCUUCCAGCUCUUUGGGCAGCUAAGAAACAAUUUGCUCUGCACAGAUCUCUUCCAUCCUCCCUGGAACAUGUCUUACAAAGGCCUGUGAAACGCAAUUUCUUGGAAGGCCUGAUCUUUCUGAAGCAGAACUUCUGCUCUGAGUGUGCUACCUUGGCAUAGAGCUGCCAGGCCCAAAGCGCUGGCUUCCAUGCAAAGGGGUAGAGAGGCCCCAAAGCAUCUUGCUUCCAGCUCUUUGGGAAGCUAAGAAACUACUGGCUCUGCCCAGUGCUCUUACAACCUACCUGGAACAUCUGUUACCAAGGCCUGUGAAAUGCAGUCUCUUGACAGGCCUGAUCUGGCUGAAGCAGACCUUCUGCUCUGGGUGUGCUACAUUGGCAUAGAGCUGCCAGGCCCAAAGUGCUGGCUUCUUUUCAAAGGGGUAGAGAGGCCCCAAAGCAUCUUGCUUCCAGCUCUUUGGGAAGCUAAGAAACUACUGGCUCUGCCCAGUGCUCUUACAACCUACCUGGAACAUCUGUUACCAAGGCCUGUGAAAUGCAGUCUCUUGACAGGCCUGAUCUGGCUGAAGCAGACCUUCUGCUCUGGGUGUGCUACAUUGGCAUAGAGCUGCCAGGCCCAAAGUGCUGGCUUCUUUUCAAAGGGGUAGAGAGGCCCCAAAGCAUCUUGCUUCCAGCUCUUUGGGAAGCUAAGAAACUACUGGCCCUGCCCAGUGCUCUUACAACCUACCUGGAACAUCUGUUACCAAGGCCUGUGAAAUGCAGUUUCUUGACAGGCCUGAUCUGGCUGAAGCAGACCUUCUGCUCUGGGUGUGCUACAUUGGCAUAGAGCUGCCAGGCCCAAUGGGUUGCCUUGUUUCCAAAGGGGGAGAGAGGCCCCAUACAUCUUGCUUCCAGCUCUUUGGGAAGCUAAGGAACAACUGACACUGAACAAUGCUACCACAGCAUACCGGGAACAUCACUUACAAAGGCCUGUGAAACGCAGUUUCUUGCCAGGCCUGAUCUUACUGAAGUAGAAUUUCUGCUCUGGGUGUGCUAAAUUUGCCUAGAGCUGCCAGGCCGAAAGGGCUGCCUUUUUUGCAAAUUGGCAGAGAGGCCCCACAGCGUGGGGCUUCGAGCUUUUUGGGCAGCUAAGAAAGAACUUGCUCCGCACUGGUGUUUUACAGCCUACAGGGAACGAAUCUUACAAAGGCCUGUGAAACGCAGUUUCUUCCCAGGCAUGAUCUCGCUGAAGUAGAACUUCUGCUCUGCCGUGUCCUACAUGGCCCUAGAGAUGCAAGGCACAAAGUCCUGCCUUGUUUCCCCAAGGGGAGACAAGUCCCUCAGCGUCCAGCUUCCAGCUCUUUCGGCAGCUAAGAAACAACUCGCUCUGCAUAGGGCUCUUACAGACCACCGGGAACAUGUCUUAAAAAGGCCUGUGAAAAGCGGUUUCUUCCCAGCCCUGAUCUGUCUGAAGUAGAACUUCUGAUCUGCCGUGUCCUACAUGGCACUAGAGCUGCAAGGCACAAAGUCCUGCCUUGCUUCCCCAAGGGGAGACUAGUCCCUCAGCGUCCAGCUUCCAGCUCUUUGGGCAGCUAGGAAAAAACUCGCUAUGCAUUGGUGUUGUACAGCCUACCGGGAACAUACCUUACAAAGGCCUGUGUAACGCAGUUUCUUCCCAGGUCUGAUCUCGCUGAAGUAGAACUUCUGCUCUGCCGUGUCCUACAUGGGCCUAGAGCUGCAAGGCACAAACUCCUGUCUUGUGUCCUCAAGGGCAGACAGGCCCCACAGCAUGGGGCUUCCAGAUCUUUGGGCAGCUGAGAAGCAACUUGCUCUGCACAGGAGUUUUACAGCCUACAGGGAACGAGUCUUACAAAGGCCUGUGAAACGCAGUUUCUUUGUAGGCCUGAUCUGGCUGAAGUAGAACUUCUGCUCUGGGUGUGCUACAUUGACCUAGAGGUGCAAGGCACAAAGUGCUGUCUUUUUUCCAAAGGGCGAGUUGGGCCCCAAAGCAUCUUGCUUCCAGCUCUUUGGGAAUCUAAGAAACAACUCGCUCAGCACAGUGCUCUUACAGCCAAACGGGAACAUCUCUUACAAAGGCCUGUGAAAUGCAGUUUCUUCCCAGUCCUGAUCUCGCUGUAGUAGAAUUUCUGCUCUGCCAUGUCCUACAUGGCCCUAGAGCUGCAGCGCACAAAGUCCUUCCUUGUUUCCCGAAGGGGAGACUAGUCCUUCAGCGUCCAGGUUCCAGCUCUUUGGGCAGCUAAGAAACAACUCGCUCUGCAUAGGGCUCUUACAGCCUACCGGAAACAUGUCUUACAAAAGGCCUGUGAAAGGCAGUUUCUUCCCAGCCCUGAUGUGGCUGAAGUAGUACUUCUGCUCUGCCGUGUCCUACAUGGCCCUAGAGUUGCAAGGCACAAAGUCCUGCCUUGUUUUCCCAAGGGAAGACUAGUCCCUCAGUGUCAAGCUGCCAGCUAUUUGGGCAGCUGAGAAGCAACUUGCUCUCCACAGGUCUUUUACAGCCUACAGGGAACGAGUCUUACAAAGGCCUGUGAAACGCGGGUUCUUUGCAGGCCUCAUCUGGCUGAAGUAGAACUUCUGCUCUGGGAGUGCUACAUUGCCCUAGAGCUGCAAGGCACAAAGUGCUGUCUUGUUUCCAAAGGGCGAGUUGGGCCCCAAAGCAUCUUGCUUCCAGUUCUUUGGGAAGCUAAGAAACAACUCGCUCUGCACACCUCUCUUACAGCCAACCGGGAACAUCUCUUACAAAGGCCUGUGAAACGCAGUUUCUUUGCAGGCCUGAUCUGGAUGAAGUAGAACAUCUGCUCUGCGUGUGCUCCAUUGCCCUAGAGCUGAAAGGCACAACGUGCAGGCUUCUUUCCAAAGGGCGAGUUGGGCCCCAAAGCAUCUUGCUUUCAGCUCUUUGGGAAGCUAAGAAACAACUCUCUCUGCCCAGUGCUCUUACAGCCUACCGGCAACAUCUCUUACAUAGGCCUGUGAAAUGCAGUAUCUUUGCAGUCCUGAUGUGGCUGAAGUGGAAAUUCUGCUGUGCGUGUGCUCCAUUGCCCUAGAGCUGAAAGGCACAACGUGCAGGCUUCUUUCCCAAGGGCGAGUUGGGCCCCAAAGCAUCUUGCUUCCAGCUCUUUGGGAAGCUAAGAAACAACUCGCUCUGCACAAUGCUCUUACAGCCUACCGGGAACAUCUCUUACAAAGGCCUGUGAAACGCAGUUUCUUUGCAGGCCUCAUCUGGCUGAAGUAGAACUUCUGCUCUGGGUGUGCUCCAUUGCCAAGAGCUGAAAGGCACAACGUGCAGGCUUCUUUCCAAAGGGCGAGUUGGGCCCCAAAGCAUCUUGCUUCCAGCUCUUCGGGAAGCUAAGAAACAACUCGCUCUGCACAGUGCUCUUACAGCCUAUCGGGAACGUCUCUUACAAAGGCCUGUGAAACGCACUUUCUUUGCAGGCCUGAUCUGGCUGAAGUAGAACUUCUGCUCAGGGUGUGCUCCAUUGCCCUAGAGCUGAAAGGCAUAACGUGCAUUCUCCUUUCCAAAGGGCGAGUUGGGCCCCAAAGCAUCUUGCUUCCAGCUCUUUGGGAAGCUAAGAAACAACUGGCUCUGCACAGUGCUCUUACAGCCUACCGGGAACAUCUCUUACAAAGGCCUGUGAAACGCAGUUUCUUUGCAGGCCUGAUGUGGCUGAAGUAGAACUUCUGCUCUGGGUGAGCUACAUUGCCCUAGAGCUGAAAGGCACAACGUGCAGGCUUCUUUCCAAAGGGCGAGUUGGGCCCCAAAGCAUCUUGCUUCCAGCUCUUUGGGAAGCUAAGAAACAACUCGCUCUGCACAGUUCUCUUAAAGCCUACCGGGAACAUCUCUUACAAAGGCCUGUGAAACGUAGUUUCUUUGCAGGCCUGAUGUGGCUGAAGUUGAACUUCUGCUCAGGGUGUGCUCCAUUGCCCUAGAGCUGAAAGGCAUAACGUGCAGGCUUCUUUCCAAUGGUCCAGUUGGGCCCCAAAGCAUCUUGCUUCCAGGUCUUUGGGAAGCUAAGAAACAACUCGCUGUGCACAGUGCUCUUACAGCCUACCGGGAACAUCUCUUACAAAGGCCUGUGAAACACAGUUUCUUUGAAGGCCUGAUCCGGUUCAAGUAGAACUUCUGCUCUGGGUGUGCUCCACUGCCCUAGAACUAAAAGGCACAACGUGAAGGCUUCUUUCCAAAGGGCGAGUUGGGCCCCAAAGCAUCUUGCUUCCAGCUCUUUGGGAAGCUAAGAAACAACUCGCUGUGCACAGUGCUCUUACAGCCUACCGGGAACAUCUCUUACAAAGGCCUGUGAAACGCAGUUUCUUUGCAGGCCUCAUCUGGCUGAAGUAGAACUUCUGCUCUGGGUGUGCUCCAUUGCCCUAGAGCUGAAAGGCACAACGUGCAGGCUUCUUUCCAAAGGGCGAGUUGGGCCCCAAAGCAUCUUGCUUCCAGCUCUUUGGGAAGCUAAGAAACAACUCGCUCUGCACAGUGCUCUUACAGCCUACCGGGAACAUCUCUUACAAAGGCCUGUGAAACGCAGUUUCUUUGCAGGCCUGAUCUGGCUGAAGUAGAACUUCUGCUCUGCGUGUGCUCCAUUGCCCUAGAGCUGAAAGGCACAACGUGCAGGCUUCUUUCCAAAGGGCGAGUUGGGCCCCAAAGCAUCUUGCUUCCAGCUCUUUCGGAAGCUAAGAAACAACUCGCUCUGCACAGUGCUCUUACAGCCUACCGGGAACAUCUCUUCCAAAGGCCUGUGAAACGCAGUUUCUUUGCAGGCCUGAUCUGGCUGAAGUAG